rnacentral:rRNA from 1 species
GACGAACGCUGGCGGCGUGCUUAACACAUGCAAGUCGAACGGAAAGGCCCUGCUUUUGUGGGGUGCUCGAGUGGCGAACGGGUGAGUAACACGUGAGUAACCUGCCCUUGACUUUGGGAUAACUUCAGGAAACUGGGGCUAAUACCGGAUAGGAGCUCCUGCUGCAUGGUGGGGGUUGGAAAGUUUCGGCGGUUGGGGAUGGACUCGCGGCUUAUCAGCUUGUUGGUGGGGUAGUGGCUUACCAAGGCUUUGACGGGUAGCCGGCCUGAGAGGGUGACCGGCCACAUUGGGACUGAGAUACGGCGCAGACUCCUACGGGAGGCAGCAGUGGGGAAUAUUGCACAAUGGGCGGAAGCCUGAUGCAGCAACGCCGCGUGCGGGAUGACGGCCUUCGGGUUGUAAACCGAUUUCGCCUGUGACGAAGCGUGAGUGACGGUAAUGGGUAAAGAAGCACCGGCUAACUACGUG